UGUUCUCUAAUAAAGGAUCAUAAGUGC
rnacentral:sRNA from 1 species